CCCCUCUCAGAGUUUCACCUGGAGAGUUUCUGGGACUCUACCAGUCUUGACUAAGGUAGGGAGAGUUAAGCAGAGGCCUAUCCAUUCCAUUCCUAGCUUGGCCAGUGGCUAGUUAGUGGAAGGCAAUCUGCUACUAGU